rnacentral:rRNA from 1 species
AAGCGCUUAUGACCAGACUUGGACUUGGUUGAUCAUCCUGGGUUCUCCCUGGUGCACUCUUCCAGUUCAGGCCAGCAUCAGUUCAUCGCGGGGGAUAAAGGCUUCGGGAAUGUGGCUCCCUCGGGAGUGUUAUAACCCGUUGUGUAAUACCCUGCUUUGGACUGAGGUUCGCGCAUCUGCAAGGAUGCUGGCGUAAUGGUCAUCAGCGA